rnacentral:lncRNA from 1 species
ACAACAAUAACAACAAGAAGAAGAACAACAACAACGACGACGACGACAACGAUGACAACGACGACAACAAUGACAACGACGACAACAAUGACAACAACGACAACUACAGUAACAACAACAACGACGACGACGACGACAACAUCGACAACAAUUACAAAAGAGACACCAACGAAAACAACAAAAAAAACAACGACGAUGACAAUGCUGACAACAACAACAACAACGACGAGAACAACGACAACAACAACAAUAAUAACAACAACAAAAACAAAA